ensembl:snRNA U1 U1 spliceosomal RNA
ACAAUUACCUGGCAGGGGAGAUACCAUGAUCACAAAGGUCGGUUUUCCCAGGGCGAGGCUUAUCCAUUGCAUUCCUGAUGUGUGCUGAUCCCUGUGAUUUCCACAAACGUGAGAUACUCAACUGCAUAAUUGGUGGUAGUGGGGGACUGUGUUUGUGCUUUCCCUUA